UGGCAGUAGCCUGUGAUGCGUGACAUUUUCCACCGAAGUCAAGGCAAGCACAUUUUCUGCCUUGUGGUGGGUGCCCAACUCCUUCAGGCUCUCCAAGGUCCACGCUAACACAUUUGAUUGCUCUCAUGGAGGGUAAACAACCCCACAUCCUCCUCCAGGAGGCCUCUGGGGCAGAGCUGAGGCUGCUUCAUCAGUAAUGGGGGGAACACUCUGCCACUCCCUCGCCUCUCGAGGAAAAAGCAUCCCUAGCACCCAGAACGUGGUGCAAAAGAAGCACAAAAAGCGUCCCGGGUGCAGGUGCGCUCCGAGGUGUGCACAGCGCUCGCCCGUGGGACCGUGCUUUGCCGAGCAGGUUUAAUCGCCCCAUCUGGGCAUUGUCUGUAAAAUCGGCGUUUUCCUGCCAGGGCUGGAGCGCAGUCAGCUGGGCGGUGCUGCUUUCCCGGGGAGGAACUCGCGGUCCCACGGGCGAGGGAGGGCUGGUGCAGCUGGAUGGGGCCCCAGCGCUCCAGCACAGCGUGUCCCCAGGUCUGCAGCGUCCAGAGCUGGCACCUCUCACUGCCUAUUGUGUGCACGGCGGGGUUCAGCACGAAUGGUGACCUGCUCCCGAGCUGCACAACAACUCCCGGGCACCGCUGCUGUGCUUGGACCGAUAUUGCUUUUUCCCAGCUGAGCCUGGCUCUGCGUCAAGUGGGAUAAGGAGCUGGAAUUCACAAGCUCUAUUCCUGUUGCUGCCAUGCAGCGUGACCUUGAGCAAGGCCAACGGGAGGCGAGGGGAGAUGAUCCUGGGACAACAACGCCCUUUGAUGUGCUGUGACAAUCUGCUCCUCGGCCCAGCGAGAGGGAGCAUUGUGUCACUCACCUGAGACAGCACAAUCCCAUCUAUCUGGGAUGGAAACUUUGUGGAGGAAACACACAUUUCCCCCCUGAGGAAUGCUGCCCAAUGUUGCUGUGCUGAAGAGUGCUGUACCCAAGCUGUGGGCAGGACUGCGGUUCAGAUGGGAGGCUGAAACACUUGGACGACAGUGCUGAAGAUAUGUCCCUCAUUUCUGCCUCCACCUGUGUUGUCUAAAGCAGCACAGUUAGGCUGAGAUAUCUACAAUGGAGGCGCAUUGACUGAGCUCCCCACCUCCCUGGCAGCUCCCACGUGGUGCCAAGGGACAGGCAACAGAGGUGUCUGGAGCUAGCUUCUGUCAACAGCAAGAAGCAGGUUAUUUAACCGCUGUCCCUGUGCCGUAUGAUGAAAGCAGUAGUAGCUGCCUGCCUCCUGGAGAAAUGAGAUUCUUAAUUCAAACUUGUGAUUGCUGCCUUGAAGUAAAGACUGUUGUCUGUCCUGGCCUUGUGCUGCUACAGCCUGCUUUGCUGCUUUAAAUCAGCAGGCCACUUCAGAGCUGGGAUCUGGGCAAAUCUAAAUUUUUUUAACUUCUGUGCUGCUGAAAUCUCAGAUCUCUUUUCAAGAUUUCAGGUUUUCAGUGCAGAGAGGAAUGCACUCAGGUCAUCCCUACAUACCAUCUGAGCAAACAGAGCAGAGUUUAUCAGGCACAUGCAAGUUCUUCCCUGCAACCACUUCAUUGGAGUUCAAGAAAAAGCUUCUGGAAUAGCAACAAGAAGGAGAGAAAAACUGAACCUCAAGAAAAUGAAAAGAAGACAUACGAAUGUCUUGAGUUCAGAUGACAGAACUGUCAUCUGUCAGAACUGCCUUCUUUCCAGGUUUAUGGUCCAUAAACCUGGAAAGAAGAAGAGGCUGCAAGAAGCACUGCAAAGAGCAAGGGGAAGAGACAAAAUGAAGCCAUAGAGACCAGCAGAAGCACCAGGGAAAAUAGGUCUAUGUGGGUGGAAACACUUUAAGACAAAUCCUGUUACAAAGGGGAUCUGGAAUUGAAAAGGCGUUUGUCAGGAAAAGAGAAUAAUACAGUGCUUCCUUUCAAGUUGAGACAAAUGAGGGAGCUAGAUUCCCACUGAAAUGGAAGAAGGAUGACUGCAGAUACUAAAGGCACUUCACAUACCUCAGUGAGCUAUGUCCUAAGAGAAGAAGGGCAAAUCCAUGGCCCAGACAUUACAGAUUCUUUGGGAACUCCUGCCAGCAGUGUGUUUUCUCUUUGAAGUCAUCCAGAGAAAGAGGGCCCUCCUUGGCAGCUCGAGUGUGCAUGUGGAGGAACACAGACCACUGGGAGCGAGCCACCUGAGACAGGCUUCAGACUAAGACAUAAGGAGGGCUUGGGAUUUUGUCUGGGCUUUUUAGAUGGGACUUGUGUGGUUUUCAUCCAGGCUUUUGAUGUUUAGUUGAAGGAAGAGCAUAGACAUUAAGAUACAAUGACAACUAAAAGAACAUAUCAGAGCAGGAGUGUAAUACUAAUUUGAGCAGGAAGCCAAUACUCUAUCCAAGCUUAUAUAACCAAUGUAUAUGGGAAACUAGGAGAAACAAUGGAAUCGCCUGAAUGCUGAGACAAAGACCUAAUGAGCAAUAUGCAGACUGUGUAUACCAGGACUUUCAGGGGCUGGAUGGACAGCUGGCAUGGCUGGACCUCUGAGACUGAAAGAUUUGUGCUGCUCAGAGGAGCAAAGACCAGUGGAGCAUGUGGUAGUAUUCCCUGUGCAUGAUAUUUUUGAGUGUGAAGGUGAAAGCAGGAGCAGAGGAGAUAAAACAGAUUUUGUCUGGGUUAAAAUCACCGCGAGGAAAGACAGCUGUAGUUCUGCUGCUGUUAUCCAAAGUUGUGUCUGGAUAUUGAUGAUGGUCUCUUAUGUUUUUAGAAUGAUAUGCAGAACCAGGGAUUGCCAUUACUACAAGUUUUAACUUCAUACAUGGAGAAAAAAUUGCUACUAACGUAGUCUUGGCCUUGGAUUUCUAGGACGCACUGCCUGACAUUCUGUCACUAAAGAGGCAGCAAACUAACCACAGCUGCUGUUGUGUUUGACCUGGUCUUGACAGCCAGUGAGACAUUGCAGAACAAUGUGACAGAAGAUAACUUUUAACCUUGACUGUGCACAGGCUGAUUCGGUUUCAAUUAAAUGGAACAGUAAAUAUUGUGGGGCCACAGCUAAGAAUUUUCAGCCUCCAAACAUUAACGGUCAGAGAAGUUAUAAAACUGAAGUGGUAAAGCAAUUUGAGUUAAAAUUCUUAAGUAUUUGUAUGUGGAAUGCUCACUAUGGCAAUAGCUAACUUUCUUUCCCAAAUAAAGAGCAGGAGGAGACUGUAUAGAAAAUGUGGCUGACGGGAAAAAAAUUCCUCAGUGAAAAAUGGGAGUGGUCAACAAAGAAAUCUACGUUGAAGAGGUCACAAAGUUUAGAGAAAAAGACACGUCAGUCAGCAGAAAUCCAGGCAAGAUAUACCUGCAGAGUUGUUGAAUGAAGUUCUUUGUAGAGGUAAAAAAACCAGGCAAGGCAUCAGACCUCUGUGCAGUGCAGAUAAGAUCAAGGCAUGCUUCAGAAACCACAAGUUUUGCUUCAUUUUGCUGGAAAGAUGGUGCAGAAGAAGGGGAUUACAAGUUGGUGGUUAAAAGUUUCUGGAAACACAAACAAUCUCAUCAAAGGUCAAGGCAAAAUUUGCAAGAUUCGUUCAGAUCAGAAAGAUCCUGGAGACAGAUCAGGUGGUAAAUCCAAUAGCACUGAUAUACAAUCAACCUGUGCAAAUGGAGGUUGGAUGGGGACCAGACGGUUUUACCUAAAUUUAAUUAAGGAACAAAAAAAGGGAGGUAGUUACUUACAGGGCCAAGAGCUUAGAACAGCUUUUCUUUUUAUCCUAGAACAAAAUAGGAAUAAUUAAAGACAUAGAACUGCACAGACAACGAGACAAAAUUUGAUGUGGCUGUAUGCAAGCUGGCUCAUUCCUACUGUCAAGAAACAACACUCCAGGAUCCAAACCCCAGAGGAGAGUCUGAGCUGUGUUUCUGCACUGCCUGUGGAGGCCUCAUGACAGAGUUCUGUUGCCUGGCAUCAGACAAAGCCCUAAGGGGAAAAAUAAGCUCCCAGGAAGAAUAAGGAUAAGGAUGGAGAAGAAUAUUGGUCACAAGCCCCUUGUCGUGACUGAUGUGGUCAACUCCACCUGUUUAGCUUCCACUCAGAAAUGUUCUUCUUUUGUUCAAGAAACUGCUUCUUGUGGUUUUGCUAGCUUUUACAAAUGUGACCUGGAAACACAACUUCUGAAAAAAAUAUUUGGAAUCUCUUGA